rnacentral:rRNA from 1 species
AGAACGAACGCUGGCGGCAUGCCUAAUACAUGCAAGUCGAACGAACUCUUCGGAGUUAGUGGCGCACGGGUGCGUAACGCGUGGGAAUCUGCCCCUUGGUUCGGAAUAACAGUUGGAAACGACUGCUAAUACCGGAUGAUGACGAAAGUCCAAAGAUUUAUCGCCAAGGGAUGAGCCCGCGUAGGAUUAGCUAGUUGGUGAGGUAAAGGCUCACCAAGGCAACGAUCCUUAGCUGGUCUGAGAGGAUGAUCAGCCACACUGGGACUGAGACACGGCCCAGACUCCACGGGAGGCAGCAGUGGGGAAUAUGGACAAGUGGGACGAAAGCCUGAUCCAGCCAUGCGCGUGAGUGAUGAACGGCCCGUAAGGGUUGUAAAGGCUUCUUUACGAACGGUGAAAGAUAAAGUGGACGGUAACCGUAGAAGAACGCCCGGAUAACUCGUGCCAGCAGCCGAC